ACUGUCAGGUGGGCAGUUUGACUGGGGCGGUCGCCUCCCAAAAGGUAACGGAGGCGCUCAAAGGUUCUCUCAGUACGGUCGGAAAUCGUACGUAGAGUGUAAAGGCAAAAGAGAGCUUGAUUGCAAGACAUACAGGUCGAGCAAGGAUGAAAAUCGGACUUAGUGAUCCGGUGGUUCUGCGUGGAAGGGCCAUCGCUCAACGGAUAAAAGCUACCCUGGGGAUAACAGGCUUAUCUCCCCCAAGAGUCCACAUCGACGGGGAGGUUUGGCACCUCGAUGUCGGCUCAUCACAUCCUGGGGCUGUAGUAGGUCCCAAGGGUUGGGCUGUUCGCCCAUUAAAGUGGUACGCGAGCUGGGUUCAGAACGUCGUGAGACAGUUCGGUCCCUAUCCGUCGCAGGCGUAGGAAAUUUGAGAAGACCUGU
rnacentral:rRNA from 1 species